rnacentral:rRNA from 1 species
UGGGGAAUAUUGCACAAUGGAGGGAACUCUGAUGCAGCAACGCCGCGUGCGGGAUGACGGCCUUCGGGUUGUAAACCGCUUUCAGCCAUGACGAAGCUUUUGUGACGGUAGUGGUAGAAGAAGCACCGGCUAACUACGUGCCAGCAGCCGCGGUGAUACGUAGGGUGCGAGCGUUGUCCGGAAUUAUUGGGCGUAAAGAGCUUGUAGGCGGUUUGUCGCGUCGAUAGUGUAAACACGCAGCUUAACUGUGUGCCUGCUGUCGAUACGGGCUGACUAGAGGAGGGUAGGGGAGAAUGGAAUUCCCGGUGUAGCGGUGGAAUGCGCAGAUAUCGGGAGGAACACCAGUGGCGAAGGCGGUUCUCUGGACCUUUCCUGACGCUGAGAAGCGAAAGCGUGGGUAGCAAACAGG